UUAUCUUUUAUUUUAAUUCUAUCAUGUAUAUUUUAUAACAGUGAAUGAAAAAUUUGCCUCAGCAAAUUCGAACGAUAACAUGCUAUUAAGAAUCUUUUUUUCAAGGCUUUGACGCUAUUUCUCUUUAUUAAAUGUUUUGAUUUAAACUUCUGACUUAGUUUGUGUUUCUAUAUGUUUAAAAAUUCAAAUGGUGCAGAUCAAGUAUUGCAAUUAAAAACCCAAAUGUUUCCAUUAUAUGAAUUGCGAACAUUUUUUUUAUUUCACCUUUUUAAAGAAUGAAGCCGUUUCGCGCGAGAUGGAAUUUCUUUUGGUUUAGUGUUAUAUCGAGUGACUGUAAAUUCCCACCUCCACUUUAGUUUAUCAAGCCAAAUGUAUUUUGUUCGUAAACAUAUAGAAAC